UACCAACACCCCGAGUGGUCUGGACGUUUAUUGGGCCUAAAGCAUCCGUAGCCGGUUCUACAAGUCUUCCGUUAAAUCCACCUGCUUAACAGAUGGGCUGCGGAAGAUACUAUAGAGCUAGGAGGCGGGAGAGGCAAGCGGUACUCGAUGGGUAGGGGUAAAAUCCGUUGAUCCAUUGAAGAACACCAGUGGCGAAGGCGGCUUGCCAGAACGCGCUCGACGGUGAGGGAUGAAAGCUGGGGGAGCAAACCGG
rnacentral:rRNA from 1 species